GGGGCUGUAGCCUAGGGGUUAGAGCGUCGGACUCUCGACUUGAAGGUCGGGGGUUCGAUUCCCAAUCCCA
rfam:Macrostomum lignano uti_cns_0006267, whole genome shotgun sequence.